CCUUCAUGGUAGAUGUUCACCAUUGCUGCCACUUCUACAGAUAAGAGCCUUGAGGUUCCACAGGUUCUCUAGGACAGGGGCCACUGAGAGCAGGAACACUUAAGGCUACAGGAGCUGACAGGGAGGCCAUUUAUGGGGAAAGUUUGCUGGCGUGUAGAUAGUGUGUGAGUCAGCCAGCGAGUGACGGAGCUGGAGGGAACAUCUUGGUCCAGUGACGACUCUGGAGUGAAGGCACUGUGUGGGAAAACAUCACGAGAGCACAUCCUCUGUACACCAUCAGGGGUGGGGUCUGGCAGCUGGUUUAAGACCAUGCAGGUAAGCUUGAAAUGAAUCUCUCUCCGUCCCUCAUCUGACCUGGAUACCGAGUUCUGCAAACUUGGUGAUUUACUUGGCAUUGGCAGUUUUCUACUUAGAAUUUGAAGUUUCUCACUCUUCCAGAAAUGAAAUUCUAUCAACUUUAUUUUGCAAUCUGUAUAUCUAUAUAUAAUAUACCAUAUACUGCACACCUUACACUGCACACCUCACACCUCAUACAAUACAGAAUGAUAAUAUUAUAGUAGAUUUUUUAAAUGCAUACUGAAAUGAAAUCACUAGUAAAAUGUAAAAUGAAUAGCAACAACAGCCUUAAACAUCUCUAGCUGGAGCUUCUAAGAGAGUGAGGAGGACACGGUAAUCUCUUAAAUAUAUUGCUUAAUAGAAAGUGCCAAAAUAUAAGGUUUAGGUAAUUAAGUGAUUUGGAUAGUUUGAUCAAUGAAACUGAUUAUGUAAUUAACAUAUUCUUAUGCUAUAUUAUGCCGAUGAUUGUUGUUCAAAUUGCUAUGCAACUUUGAAUGUGUGAACCUCUAAUGUGUAAUUAAAAUUCUGUAUUUAGUUACUAAAAGUGACAGGGACAUGACUUUGAAGUCUAUAUUAUAAAUGUGAGAAUAUUGGCAAAUAUAUAUGUAUGCUUUGUAGAGAAGGAUGCUUUGCGCUACAUGUAACAUUGUAUCUCAUUUCAGAGAAGAGGCUGUGGUAAGUGGCCUAUGAGUUUGAUGGUCAUUUCAGACAAGUUACAUUGGAGGCUUCCAUUGAAUCCUGGCUCAGUUUUCAUAGCUGCAAGGUAGACUGUAGGCAUUAAUUUAAGGUUGGUAGCCUUCUCUUUUCCCAUUCUAGCUCCCAAUUAAUUGACACAAAGACCUAUUAUGUUAACAGACUUAAAGCGCUCUGACUGUGUAGAUAUUCCUCGGUUCUAACCAGCCACAUGGUCCUUUACCUUCUGUCUGAGUCUCACCUUGAUUCACUCUGCUCCAUUUGUGUCCUCUUGGUGAAUUCCUUGGCGACUUACUCAUUAUGACUCCUCCUGGACCUUCUGCCUCAUGGCCACCUCUUCUCUUCCUUUCUCUCCUUCUCGUCCUUCUCUUACCUCUUCCUACCUGGGACCCCUGGCUUGGAUUGGAAGUCCAGCCUUCCUAUCCUCUGACUAGGCAUAGGCUUAAUCAAUCAACUGUUGGUUAGACAAUCAGAGAUGGUGGAAAACACAUUUUAUACAACAUUGAGACAGAAGAUGCUUGACCAUGCCACAUUCUGGAUUGUAGACCGAUGUCUAGGCAUUAAAAUCAGAGUCUGAAUAUACAGUUCACAAGACCAACCCCCCAUCAGUGAAAUGUUCUCCACAGUGUCUGAAACUCACUUUUCAACUCAAGUCUGUAGAC
ensembl:lncRNA LOC120093624 uncharacterized LOC120093624